GGGUUCCCCAUCACCAUCGCCACCGUCUCCAGGAGGCUCCCGUUGGCCAGACGGGAAUGGGUGACACCAGGAGGGAUGCAGGUGGCUGGGAUGCUGCUCCUGGGAAUCAGCCCCAGUGCUGGCACCCAGCUACUUUUUUUCUUUUCCUUUUCUUUUGCCAGCAAGUGGAGAGGUACUGGCAGCAGCAGAGUCACCAGAGGUUUUCCUGCAGAAAGAAACACAAGCUGCAAGCGUGCGGGACUGGCAGCCCGUGAGCUGGGCAGAGACAGCCUGAUUUCCUCUCCACGCUGGGCAUUUCUCUUCUGAGCUGGCUGUUCUAACGCCUGGGGACACAGGAUCUCACCCCACUGACUGCUCUUCCUUCUCUGACCCAGCCAUCAGCGACUCCUCAGCAUCCUGCUCCCAGAUAUUUGGGAAAACAUUUCCCUCUCCUGUGACGCAAGAGCAUGGUUUGGGAAGCAGCCGAGCAGCCACCCUUUGGGAAUCUGUGUGGGUUGUUUUUGCUUUGAAAGUAAUUCCCAUCUGACUUAGCAAAGGGCUAAGCUAAUUUUACACAUGACUUACUUUCACACCUUUAAGAAGGGGCAGUUCCCUUCUCGAUGAGCAGAGCAUAUGGCAGUGAAAUUGAUUAUUUGCUGAAUGAGUGAGAACACGCAGCACUGAAACUGCCUUUGAUGAUGUGACCAUUGGAAAAGAGCUGCAGAUGUAAAUUGAUUUUUUUUUUCUCCCUGUGCAGAUAUGACCGAAUAGAUCCAGUUACACAUGUGUCUGUGAACUGCAAAGAUUGAAUUUGGUUGUUCCUUUACCCUGAGAAUCGCCGACAAAGAUCACAGGGAAAAAAACAGAGCACAAGCUGCUGUCCCAGCCCGUGUGGGGCCGUGGGUCUCUGCCGGAGCACCCCCAGCCCCUGGCAGUGCAGGGGGUCGGAGCUGCCUCCAUGCGUGGCUGGGAAUCGUCUCCAACAUCCUCGCCGCGAGGGAGCCAGGCACUGUCAGCUCGCGUGACGUUUUAUUUCAGGUUAAUGAAAAGGCUGAGGCAAGAAGGAACAAGCAGACAGGCUCCUCCAAGCGGGCCGUGCAAGAGCCAAACCUGAGCUGACAACCGCCUGCGGGUGG
rnacentral:lncRNA from 1 species